rnacentral:rRNA from 1 species
UAGGGAAUAUUGCGCAAUGGCCGAAAGGCUGACGCAGCGACGCCGCGUGUGGGAGGACGCCUUUCGGGGUGUAAACCACUGUCAGGGGGGAAGAAACCCGGAGUAGAGAAUACCUGCUCUGGCUGACGGUACCCCCAGAGGAAGCGCCGGCUAACUCCGUGCCAGCAGCCGCGGUAAGACGGAGGGCGCAAGCGUUGUUCGGAAUUACUGGGCGUAAAGCGCGCGCAGGCGGUUUCUUAAGUCCACUGUGAAACUCCGGGGCUCAACCCCGGACAUGCAGUGGAUACUGGGAGACUAGAGAUCGGUAGAGGCUAGCGGAAUUCCUGGUGUAGCGGUGGAAUGCGUAGAUAUCAGGAAGAACACCGGUGGCGAAGGCGGCUAGCUGGGCCGAAUCUGACGCUCAGGUGCGAAAGCGUGGGGAGCAAACAGGAUUAGAUACCCCCGUAGUCC